rnacentral:pre_miRNA from 1 species
UCCGGUCGCCAGAUCCGGCGAGUUGGGCGGGGCCUCGCCCAGCUCGCCGGAUCUGGUGAGGCCA